AGGAGCCGUAUGAGGUGAAAUUCUCAUGUACGGUUCUAGAACAGAGAUUCUUUCAC
rnacentral:ncRNA from 1 species